ACGCUGGCGGCGUACCUAAUACAUGCAAGUCGAACGGUCUUUCUAUGGAAGCUUGCUUCCACUGAGAAGAUAGUGGCGAACGGGUGAGUAACACGUGGGUAACCUGCCCAUAAGAGGGGGAUAACAUCCGGAAACGGGUGCUAAUACCGCAUAGUUUUCUUGAUCGCAUGAUUGAGAAAGGAAAGACGGCCUUUGUGCUGUCGCUUAUGGAUGGACCCGCGGCGUAUUAGUUAGUUGGUGAGGUAACGGCUCACCAAGACGAUGAUACGUAGCCGACCUGAGAGGGUGAUCGGCCACAUUGGGACUGAGACACGGCCCAAACUCCUACGGGAGGCAGCAGUAGGGAAUCUUCCGCAAUGGACGAAAGUCUGACGGAGCAACGCCGCGUGAGUGAAAGAAGGUUUUCGGAUCGUAAAACUCUGUUGUCAGAGAAGAACAAGUUGGAGAGUAACUGCUCCAGCCUUGACGGUAUCUGACCAGAAAGCCACGGCUAACUACGUGCCAGCCGCCGC
rnacentral:rRNA from 1 species